rnacentral:piRNA from 1 species
UGUGGCCUCUGGACGUUACGGGAACUG